rnacentral:rRNA from 1 species
AGAUUAAGCCAUGCAUGUCUCAGUUCAGGCCCUAGUACGGUGAAACCGCGAAUGGCUCAUUAAAUCAGCUAUGGUUUAUUGGAUCGUACCCGUUAAAUGGAUAACUGUAAUAACUCUAGAGCUAAUACAUGCCUCGAUGCCCUGACUCGGCCUGUUUGUUGUUGCGCAUGCUGCUGCUGCUGCUGCUGCUGCACGGCGUCGGCGCUGCGUCCUCAGGCAGGUGGGGGAUGGGUGCACUUAUUAGAUCAGAAGCCAACCAAUUGCACGUGUGUGUAUGUGUGCGGUCGCGAGGCCGUGUGCGGGCGCGUGCAUUGAGACGAGACUUCUGGUGACUCUGGAUAAUUGUUACAGAUCGCAGUCGGCCUUGAGUCGGCGACGGGUCCUUCAAAUGUCUGCCCUAUCAACUGUCGAUGGUAGGUGAUCUGCCUACCAUGGUGAUAACGGGUAACGGGGAAUCAGGGUUCGAUUCCGGAGAGGGAGCCUGAGAAACGGCUACCACUUCCAAGGGAGGCAGCAGGCGCGCAACUUACCCACUCCCAGCACGGGGAGGUGGUGACGAAAAAUACCGAUGCGGGACUCCUUCAAGAGGCUCCGUAAUCGGAAUGAGUGGACUCUAAAUCCUUUCACGAGGAUCAAUUGGAGGGCAAGUCUGGUGCCAGCAGCCGCGGUAACUCCAGCUCCAAUAGCGUAUAUUAAAGUUGCUGCAGUUAAAAAGCUCGUAGUUGGVUCUCGGUGGCGUUGUUGCCUGUUGGUAAUUGAGCGGUCGGUGUGUGGCUAACGGCGUGUCACUCUAGCCGCCUCUGCGUGUGUGUGUGUGGGCCGUGGUGGGUGGAUUGGUGGAUUGGUGAGUGUGGGUGAURARGGCUGCUGGGUGGAUGGAUGGAUGGAUGGAUGGAUGGAUGGAGGGAGGGAUGGGCGCUUUGAACAAAUUUGAGUGCUCAAGUCAGGCCGAUGUUGCCUGAAAAGUUUUGCAUGGAAUAAUGGAAUAGGACUUCGGUUCUAUUUCGUUGGUUUUCGGAUCCGAAGUAAUGAUCAAAAGAGACAGGCGGGGACGUUUGUAUGGCUGCGCUAGAGGUGAAAUUCAUGGACCGUAGCCAGACAAACUAAAGCGAAAGCAUUCGUCAAGCAUGUUUUCAUUGGCCAUGAGCGAAAGUCAGAGGCUCGAAGACGAUCAGAUACCGUCCUAGUUCUGACCAUAAACGAUGCCAACUGACGAUCCGUGGUGGUAGUUGUGUUACCUUCCCCACGGGCAGUCCCCGGGAAACCUUUAAGUGUUUGGGUUCCGGGGGAAGUAUGGUUGCAAAGCUGAAACUUAAAGGAAUUGACGGAAGGGCACCACCAGGAGUGGAGCCUGCGGCUUAAUUUGACUCAACACGGGAAAACUCACCCGGGCCGGACACUAUGAGGAUUGACAGAUUGAGAGCUCUUUCUUGAUUUGGCUUCUUAGAGGGACAAGCGGGAGAAGCCGCACGAA